CCUACGGGGGGCUGCAGUGAGGAAUAUUGGUCAAUGGGCGCGAGCCUGAACCAGCCAAGUCGCGUGAAGGAUGACGGUCCUAUGGAUUGUAAACUUCUUUUGUGCAGGAAUAAAGUGAGGAACGUGUUCCUUUUUGUAUGUACUGUACGAAUAAGCAUCGGCUAACUCCGUGCCAGCAGCCGCGGUAAUACGGAGGAUGCGAGCGUUAUCCGGAUUUAUUGGGUGUAAAGGGUGCGAUGGGGCGCUGAUAAACGUUUGCAGCUUAACUGUAAAAUUGCCAUUGAAACUGUUAGUCUUGAGUGCAAAUGAGGUAGGCGGAAUGUGUUGUGUAGCGGUGAAAUGCUUAGAUAUAACACAGAACUCCGAUUGCGAAGGCAGCUUACUGGGAUGCAACUGACGCUGAUGCACGAAAGCGUGGGUAUCAAACAGGAUUAGAUACCCGUGUAGUC
rnacentral:rRNA from 1 species